UACGGAGGGUGCAAGCGUUAUCCGGAUUCACUGGGGUUAAAGGGUGCGUAGGCGGGCAUUUAAGUCAGUGGUGAAAUACCUGAGCUUAACUUGGGAACUGCCAUUGAUACUAUUUGUCUUGAAUGUCGUGGAGGUUAGCGGAAUAUGUCAUGUAGCGGUGAAAUGCUUAGAUAUGACAUAGAACACCUAUUGCGAAGGCAGCUAACUACGCGAAUAUUGACGCUGAGGCACGAAAGCGUGGGGAUCAAACAGG
rnacentral:rRNA from 1 species